AUACAGUGCUGGGAUUAAAGCUGUGAGGCACCACAACCAGCAGAAACCCAUUAGUUUAUAUGAUGAACGUGGCUCACACACACUCCAGAGCCAUAGUCACUCAUGUAUGCUUCUAGAACUAAGUGUCUCUAUCCUUCUCUCCAACAGUAAGUGUACCAGUUUUCAAGAGGGUUUUUCCUCACUGACACUCUUCUGUCCCCAUGGGGAAGACUUUGCCUACUCUAGUUGUUUCAAUUUUUUAAAAUUAUUUUUGGUUCAUGUAUCUAGCAAAUAUAAAGUGUUUGCCUGCAUUUGUGUAUGUGUGCCCCAUGUGUGCCUGGAGCCUGCAGAGACGAGGUGUUAGAUUCCCCGACACUGGAGUUGCAGAAGGUCAUGCUGCUACAGUAGUGAAAUGACCUUUAACACCUUUAAUCCAAGCACUCCAGAGGCAGAGGCAGGCUGAAGCCAGUCAGGGACACUGUGAGACCUUGUCUCAAGGAUGCUAGCAGCUGUCAGUAACAAAGAUCUAAGGGCUUUAAAGAUGACUGUGGACAGAGGUGCUUGCUGCCAAGCCUUAAUGACAUGAGAUUGGUCACCUGAGCCAACAGCUUCAGAAAAUUGUCCUCUAAUCUCCACAUGUAUGCCGUGGUACACACAUACACAUAUACAUGUACAUAGGCAUACAUCGAAAUAUAAUAAAAAAUCAGUAACAUAGUGGCUUUUUAAUAAGUGUUACAGUUUUCCUCUUACCCAGCUAGCUUCCAAAUAACUGAGACUGGACUAUUAUAUUUAUUUAUCAAGUUUUAAUGGUACAACAACUGAGUGGUAUUGCUCUAUUUUCAUCCUCUAAGCUAAUCUUGCUGCCUCCCAGCCAAAAUCCCAGAAAUACUUGUAUUUUAUGGCUUUCUCUACUCAAGCUGUUUUCUCCUGCUUUCUCUUUGACUCUCUCCCUGCCCCACCCUCUGCCCUGGCUAGGAGGAAGUCCAGUGUGGAGAGAAUCUCUUAAAAGAAUCACCUGCCAAUAAAAAAGCCAGUGGCCAAUGAGCUGAGACAGAAAAUAAAAGGUAGGACAAUGGCAGGAAGAGAGAAUAUUCUAGAAAAAUGGAGACUAAAAGGAGACACAGAGACAUUAAAGAGAUUUGAGAGAGACACUGAGGAGACUGGAAGAAAAGCAAGCCAGGACUGAAGAGGUAACUAACCAAAGGGUAGACACAGAAUAGUUUAAAUGGAUUACGUUAGUUACAAGCUAGUCAGGGCAUGAGCCAAAGCCUGUAGCCAAGGCAUUUAUUAAUAUAAGUCUCUGAGUCAUCAUCCUGGGAGUAGGGGCUAAGGGGACAACAGAUUUUUUUUUUUAAUAGUCCAACCCGAGCCGGGUGUGGUGGCGCACACCUUUAAUCCCAGCACUCGGGAGGCAGAGGCAGGUGGAUUUCUGAGUUCGAGGCCAGCUUGGUCUACAGAGUGAGUUCCAGGACAGCCAGGGCUAUACAGAGAAACCCUGUCUCGAAAAAAAACCAAAAAAAAAAAAAAAAAAAAGUCCAGCCCUAUCCUCUUCUCUGUUCAAUCAUUGGCUGAUCAGCUUUUUUAUUGACCAGUGAGGGAAUAACUGGGGAGUAAUAGUUACGUUUACAACAUUGAAACAAGAGAUUCUCAGAAUAAGGAUUGUAAUCAGGUACGGGAGCAGCACAGAAAUCAGCGUUUGAAUAAUGCAGGUAUAACCUCAAACACUGCACAGGAGCAUUAUGCCGACCACAGGAGAGGACAGAGCUCAGUUGCUGGAGCAUCACCCAGUGUGAGAAAAGAGAGACUCUGAAACAAACCAAAGAAAGUUUUAAUGUUGUUUAUUUGUAAGUUUUGAGACAAGGUCUUUCUAUGUGUCCCUGGCUGCCUGGAACUCAAUAUGUGUACCAGGUUGCCCCCAAAUUCCAGAGAGUUCCGCCUGGCUCUCUAUUUCUGAGAUUAAAGGUUAUGUGUCACCUUGAUACACCAAAAGAAAAUUAGUAUUAGAUAUAGUUGACUUGAGUCAAAAAUAAAUGAAACAGAAGAAAUAAAGAAAGGCACAUUGUCUUGGCACUUGGGAGGUUGGGGAAAGAGAAUCAGAAGUUCAGGUUUUUUUGUACAUAGUUUGGGGCAAGCUAAGGUUCAAGACAUACACCUUGUCUCAAUAAAAUAGUGUACAGGUCCUGAUGGAACAGGCCAAUAAUCCCCCAUGCUCACGAAGCUGAGAUGGGAGAAUCUCAAGGUCUGGGCAACUUGGUGAGGCCUACUCAGAAAUUACAACAAGCAAGGCCUGGGGCUGGAGCACACAGCAUUGGAGCAAUGGCUCUUCUUCAUCAGGUUCAGUUCCCACACAGCUCAGUGGAAACAAAACAAUGCUAACUAAAGACCUGGGCUAGGUUGCCAAGAAAUGGAGCCAUAUGGUUUGUAGAGUUUCUCUUUAUACCUUUUAAAUUUUAAUCUGGCCUGUGUUCCUCAAAAGUACUUUUCCCCCUUGAGACAGGGUCUCAGUAUGUAACCCUGGAUGGCCUUGAAUUAACUAUUUAAACCAGCCUGACCUCCUGCGAUAGUCAGGCCCAGUCUUGUAGCAUAACAUUUUAUUUGGCCCUUUAGUGUUGGUUGCAUCUUGGAAUUCUGGGAACAGGAGGCUUAAAAAAAAAUAACAAAAAACAGCCUGCAGAGACUGGCAGAAAGGGAGUGAGAUUCAGGUGUGGGGCUGAGGAAGUUCCAGGAGACAAAAGAAGAGGGUCAGAGACUAGGGUUAGAAAAGAAGACAGUUGAUGAUAGCUGAGACAGAGAAGAUAUUGUUAGGAGACAGAAGAACCCACAAAGUAGUAAAUAAAGAAAAAGUAACAAUAAAAGCUACAGUUGGUGAUGAAAGUGGGGCAAUUUGUAGGAAAAAGAAACAUUAAGAGACAAGUGCCACCAAUGUGGCAGGGCGGCAUGGGAGGCUUGGUUUCAAGUACAGUAAAGCAGAAGCCGGGAAAGGAGGAACGGAUAGAUGCUUUGUUUCAGAAGCCAACAGGGUUUGCUGGGGCUGUUUCUGGAACAUGCUUCCUUCCCAUGGUUUUUAGCAGCAGGUCCUAGUCAUCAUCUCCUUCACCCCUCUCCCCAUCCUCUUUUUAUGUUGCUGCUGCUGUUUUCCUCAUUUCGGGAUAUUUUGUUUAUAAAAUACUAGCUGAGCAACUGGGGAAAAAAUUAAGGUGGAAUUAAAGAAGCUUGGUAUUAAAAAAAAAAAAAAGUAAGGAAAACAAAUAGAUUCAUUCCCAGUGACUGAACCAGAGAGAGGAAGUUUCCCCCAGGUAGAAGGAGGGGAAAGAACUGUAUCAAAAGGCAGUCAAGUCAAAAAAGGAAAAGAAAAACAGGAGGAUGGUCAGAGUUAAACCCACAGCACUCAGUCACAAAAAUCAACAGCAUUUCCAGUAGUAGUUGGGAUAAUCUUUUUGUACACUGUGUGUGGGGUCCAUCCUUUCCUGUCUAAGGCACCUUCUCAUCGAUUGAUUUAAUAAAGAUCUGACUAUGGCUGAGGCAGGAGAGGAAAGGUGGGCAGAGAGGGGGACAGGGAAAGAAUAGGGUGGGAGGUUUUGCCAGCCAGACGUGGGGGAUCGAACAGUUGCCCAGAAUGAAAGAGGUAAUGAGCCACGUGGCAAAGGUGGGUUACUACAACCUAACUGGGAACAAGACUAAGCUAUAAGGCCUAAGUUUUCAUAAAUAAAAAUAAUUCUCUGUGUCAUUAUUGGAAGCUGGUAGUGGUUCAAGACAGUCUGGUGCAUCCAAUGUGGGGCUAGAAAUCCAAGCUUAGGGUCUGAGAAGAGUUCUGGAGGGAAGGUGGGGAAGAAGCAGUUUCCUAAGGGAGGGGAGGGCCGCAAGUCACUUUACCAUGGAGCUAGUGGAGGCCUGUGAGCAGGAAGUAAGAAGUGGGGAACCAGAGCCUCAGUGCAAGACCUCUCAGGCAAGCAACUGCUCAGAGCUGGGUCAGAGCACCCAGAGCUGGCCUGUGCCUGCUGGUGAACCACAGAACAGUACCUCUGUUACCCAGAGGUGGGGCAGGUAGGUGUGGCUCCCAACUGUUGUCCAGGAAAACUGGCAAGGGAAGCCUGCUAGACCAAGCAGAGUCAGGCAAAGCCAGCUGCCAUCCACAGGCAUUGGCCUGAGGAGCCUGCAAGUGCACAAAAGGUCAGAUGGGACAUUUCACAGAGCCACAGUGGGACUGAAAAGCCCCUACCUUCUGAACAAUUAAUGUAUAAGUCUGAAAAUCAUAAAGUGAUGUUUAUGAAGGAAGGAGAGAGUUACAGAGAUUUUUAAAAAAUGUAUGUUCUGUUUUAAAAAAUGAAGACUACCAUGACAAGAUACUUGGAUUCCAUUUUAUUUUAUUUUCAUCAUCAUCGUACAAAUACUUAUCUUUUCAGUAAUGAUUGCAAUUUUAUAUAUUCUUUUAAGAAAGAUCAUAUUAAAACAGACUUAAAUAAAGAGAGGACUGAAAAAAUUGAGCACUAGGGGUAGAACAAAUUAGACAAUCCUUUGGAUCAGAAUAAAAAAAAAAAUUGUCAGGAAUCCAAUCUAAAACCUGGGGUGCCACCUUGUGAUGAGACUGCAGAAUGGCAGCUCAUAGAGAUGCAAUAUUCUACAUUAAGACUACAGAGUAUGUUUAAUGCCAUAUUAGAGCAAUGUCAUACAAUAAUUAUGUGUUUCAUUUUGUAGAGUUUGAAGUUUUAAAGUAUAUACAUGUGGUAACACAGCAUACAAUUGGUUUGUAUUCAGGACUUGAAGGGGCUUUCUUAAAUUGUAAAAAGGAUUGUUCCAAAACUGCACAUUUAUUAGAGGUAAUAGCUAUCUUGGAGAUGCCUUGGUAGAUUGAAACUAAUGAUACUCCAUGUGUAUCCAGUAGAAUAAAACAAUUUUUUUAGACAUUUUGGCAUAAAACAUGUUACAGAUAUAACUUACAAUCAUGCAGGUCAAGUGAUUGUAAAAAGAUAUAACUACACUUUAAAGGAAAUGCUCAUAGAACAGAAGGGGUAAAAAAUUUAAAUACCAGUCAGGUAGCACAGCUGCUGGGGGGAAAAAAAAAAAACCCUGGAUUUUAGAAAGUCCUGCUAAGUUAUCAGGCUAUGAAUGUCGUAAUCUCCGAAUGGAGGUCAGGAAAUGUAUUGCACUGGGGGAGAGGUUAUGUCUGUGCUUCAUAUGUAUGAGAUGAAAUGCUGUGGAUUCCUUCAAAGUUAAUAAAGAUUAAAUUUGACCAGGGAAGACCUCCUGAAAAUCUUGGCUACAGACAUGAAGAACCAAACCAAGCACAACAAUAAAACAUGUGAGAUGUAUGCAGAUCCCUCUACAUAGAGACAGCUCUGACAGGCUGAGAUAGGAAUGCCUUUUUUUGUUAUCUAUUUUUUUUAAUUUUUUUAUUAGGUAUUUUCUUCAUUUACAUUUCCAUUGCUAUCCCAAAAGUCCCCCAAUUCCCCCUCCCCAGGAAUGCCUUUUUGUAGCCAAUAAUCUUGUUGGGUACUGUUAGUGUCAUGAUUUUAUACACUGUAAAGAUAUGGCUCUGUAUUUCUUGCAUGCCUAAAGCACCUUCUGAUUGAUUAAAAUAAAAACCCUGUGGCUUUAAAA
rnacentral:lncRNA from 1 species